GUCUUUGCCUGCUACCAUGUGAGGUGUGCCUUUGCUCUUCCUUCGUCUUCUGCCAUGAUUGUGAGGUCUCCCCAGCCAUCUGGAACCACCAAUGAGUGGAACAAGAAUGAUGACCGGCUACUGCAGGCCGUGGAGAAUGGAGAUGCAGAGAAGGUGGCUUCACUGCUCGGCAAGAAGGGGGCCAGUGCCACUAAACACGACAGUGAGGGCAAGACCGCGUAAGCUGAAACACUGUUUCCAUCUUGCUGCUGCAAAAGGACACGUGGAAUGCCUCAGGGUCAUGGUUACACAUGGUGUGGAUGUGACAGCCCAAGAUACUACCGGACACAGCGCCUUACAUCUCGCAGCCAAGAACAGCCACCAUGAAUGCAUCAGGAAGCUCCUUCAGUCUAAAUGCCCAGCCGAAAGCGUUGACAGCUCUGGGAAAACAGCUUUACAUUAUGCAGCGGCUCAGGGCUGCCUUCAAGCUGUGCAGAUUCUCUGCGAACACAAGAGCCCCAUAAACCUCAAAGAUUUGGAUGGGAAUAUACCGCUGCUUCUUGCUGUACAAAAUGGUCACAGUGAGAUCUGUCACUUU
rnacentral:sRNA from 1 species